rnacentral:rRNA from 1 species
CAGUUAUAGUUUACUUGAUAAUCUUACUACAUGGAUAACCGUGGUAAUUCUAGAGCUAAUACAUGCGAAAAAACCUGACUUCGCGGAAGGGUUGUAUUUAUUAGAUAAAGAACCAAUGCGGGUUCUGCUCGCCAUUUGGUGAUUCAUAAUAACUUUACGGAUCGCAUAGCCUUGUGCAUGCGACAUAUCAUUCAAGUUUCUGACCUAUCAGCUUUAGACGGUAGGGUAUU